GAAAACAGAAGCGUUGUGUGAAAGUGAAAGCACUUGGACACCCCCCCCCCCCCCAUCCAACUUAUGAAAUAUUGGGACCUGGAAUGAAUGAUUCACUUGAAGAAUUACGUCAGUCUUAAGGACCAGGUUGAUAUAGUGAAUAUAUGUCAAAAGUGGGGCAUGAAAUCUGGUGGGUUUUAAAAGCCAAGUUGCCAAAAUGGAGCAGCAGAUAAUCGACAACAUAUGUGUUUUGGUCUGGGAUCCAGAAACAAGGUAUAACAACAUUUACACAAGGGAUGGUUCUGAACCAUCGCCUAUUCCAUAUGAGCUUACCUCAUUGGCUGAAACCGCAAUUCAAGAUGCUCAAGCCCAUCUGGACUAUGAUGAACUUCCUUCCAUGUGCCCCCGGAUACUUGUUCUGUCAGUUUCUAUCCGAUCGAUGGUCGACUUGGCCUUCAUCAGUGGAUUGGACUAUGAUGGCAUUGCGUUCAAGUGUUGGAUGUCCAGCUUGAUGGAGGUGUAAGUAUGGGCUCCAUAAUGUGAUGCAUCAUUUCAUUGAGCUAGAGAUGGAUCACCUUGUAUAUGGUAUGGGCCGAUUGAUUCUUAAAACUCUAAUAUGCAUCAUGGACUAUGAGUUUGCUAUUGGCCUUUACUCUUUCUUGGUUGUUUGUUUUCAAAAGUUGUAAAAAGUAUUAGGUGGUUUAUAAACUCAAUAUAAUUGUAAAUAUAUUACUUUAAACUUUAAAUA